rnacentral:rRNA from 1 species
AGUGGGUUUCACCAGAAGGAGUUAGCCUAACCGAGGAGGGCGCUUACCACGGUGGGAUUCAUGACUGGGGUGAAGUCGUAACAAGGUAGCCGUAGGUGAACCUGCAGAAGGAUCA